rnacentral:rRNA from 1 species
UACGUAGGGGGCAAGCGUUGUCCGGAAUUAUUGGGCGUAAAGCGCGCGCAGGUGGUUCCUUAAGUCUGAUGUGAAAGCCCACGGCUCAACCGUGGAGGGUCAUUGGAAACUGGGGAACUUGAGUGCAGAAGAGGAAAGUGGAAUUCCAAGUGUAGCGGUGAAAUGCGUAGAGAUUUGGAGGAACACCAGUGGCGAAGGCGACUUUCUGGUCUGUAACUGACACUGAGGCGCGAAAGCGUGGAGAGCAAACAGG